AGAAAGAACACAUUGCAACUGUGCUUAACUACUGUAUAAUUGUCAGUGUGAUGUGUACUUAUGGAAGUAUAGUCAUUGUUGUCUUAGUCAACACAUGGUUCAAUAAUUAACAGAACAAUGCAUUUUAUUCAAUUUGCUUCCAGAGUUGGCGUGUUUGGAGAGUCUUGAGAUUUCUUGUAGUAAAGUCACUAAUUUUGGCAUCAGCUUUCUAAAAGGGUUGCAAAAGCUUUCCUUACUAAACUUGGAAGGGUGCCUUGUAACAGCUGCAUGCUUGGAUUCUCUUGCAAUUCUGAAAUUUGGGAAUGCUAGUAUGAUACGUGAGCGCUCAUUGGUGGGUAUAAUGAUGGAUA